rnacentral:rRNA from 1 species
AUUGAACGCUGGCGGCAGGCCUAACACAUGCAAGUCGAACGAGUGGCGGACGGGUGAGUAAUGUCUGGGAAACUGCCUGAUGGAGGGGGAUAACUACUGGAAACGGUAGCUAAUACCGCAUACCAUCGGAUGUGCCCAGAUGGGAUUAGCUAGUAGGUGGGGUAAAGGCUCACCUAGGCGACGAUCCCUAGCUGGUCUGAGAGGAUGACCGGCCACACUGGAACGGAGACACGGGCCAGGCUCCUACGGGAGGCAGCAGUGGGGAAUAUGGCACAAGGGGCGCAAGCCUGAUGCAGCCAUGCCGCGUAUAUGAAGAAGGCCUUGGGGGUGGAAAGUACUUUCAGCGGGGAGACGGUACCCGCAGAAGAAGCACCGGCUAACUCCGUGCCAGCCGCCGCGGUAAUUC